rnacentral:tRNA from 1 species
UGGGCUUGUAGCGCAGCUGGUAGAGCGCCUCCAUGGCAUGGAGGAGGUCAGGAGUUCGAGUCUCCUCAGGUCCACCCA